UCAGGCCUAACACAUGCAAGUCGAACGGCAGCACGGGUGCUUGCACCUGGUGGCGAGUGGCGAACGGGUGAGUAAUACAUCGGAACGUACCUUAUCGUGGGGGAUAACGCAGCGAAAGCUGUGCUAAUACCGCAUACGCCCUGAGGGGGAAAGCGGGGGAUCGCAAGACCUCGCGCGAUUAGAGCGGCCGAUGCCUGAUUAGCUAGUUGGUGGGGUAAAAGCCCCCCAAGGCGACGAUCAGUAGCUGGUCUGAGAGGACGAUCAGCCACACUGGGACUGAGACACGGCCCAGACUCCUACGGGAGGCAGCAGUGGGGAAUUUUGGACAAUGGGGGCAACCCUGAUCCAGCAAUGCCGCGUGAGUGAAGAAGGCCUUCGGGUUGUAAAGCUCGUUUGUCAGGGAAGAAACACCGGCUCUAACACAGUCCGGGAAUGAC
rnacentral:rRNA from 1 species